GAUGAAGAACGCAGCGAAAUGCGAUACUUGGUGUGAAUUGCAGAAUCCCGUGAACCAUCGAGUCUUUGAACGCAAGUUGCGCCUCAAGCCAUUAGGUUGAGGGCACGUCUGCCUGGGCGUCACAUAUCGUUGCCUGAUGCCAGUUUCCUCGUGAUGGGUGACUGUGCAGGGCGAAUGAUGGCUUCCCGUGAGCAUUGUUGCCUCAUGGUUGGUUGAAAAUUGAGUCCUUGGUAGGGAGCGCCGUGAUAGAUGGUGGUUGAGUGACGAACGAGACCCAAUCAUGUGAGACCCCUACCGAAUUUGGCCUUCAUGACCCACAUGCGUCUUUGGAACGCUCAUGACGAGACCUCAGGUCAGGCGGGGCUACCCGCUGAGUUUAAGCAUAUCAAUAAGCGGGGGA
rnacentral:misc_RNA from 1 species